AACGAACGCUGGCGGCAUGCCUAACACAUGCAAGUCGAACGAGACCUUCGGGUCUAGUGGCGCACGGGUGCGUAACGCGUGGGAACCUGCCCUUAGGUUCGGAAUAACUCCCCGAAAGGGGUGCUAAUACCGGAUAAUGUCUUCGGACCAAAGAUUUAUCGCCUUUGGAUGGGCCCGCGUUGGAUUAGCUAGUUUGUAGGGUAAAAGCAUACUAAGGCGACGAUCCAUAGCUGGUCUGAGAGGAUGAUCAGCCACACUGGGACUGAGACACGGCCCAGAAUCCUACGGGAGGCAGCAGUGGGGAAUAUUGGACAGUGGGCGAAAGCCUGAUCCAGCAAUGCCGGGUGAGUGAUGAAGGCCUUAGGGUUGUAAAGCUCUUUUACCCGGGAUGAUAAUGACAGUACCGGGAGAAUAAGCUCCGGCUAACUACGUG
rnacentral:rRNA from 1 species